rnacentral:rRNA from 1 species
GUUUACGACAUACCCCUUGAGAACACGACAUCCCGUCCGAUCUGUCAAGUAAGCAACGGUGGGCCCAGUUAGUACUUGGAUCGGAGACGGCUUGGGAAUCCUGGGUGUUGUAAGCA